AUUGAACGCUGGCGGCAGGCCUAACACAUGCAAGUCGAACGCGUCGCGGACGGGUGAGUCAUGUCUGGGAAACUGCCCUAUGGAGGGGGAUAACUACUGGAAACGGUAGCUAAUACCGCAUACCAUCGGAUUUGCCCAGAUGGGAUUAGCUAUUAGGUGGGGUAACGGCUCACCUAGGCAACGAUCCCUAGCUGGUCUGAGAGGAUGACCAGCCAAACUGGAACUGAGACACGGUCCAGACUCCUACGGGAGGCAGCAGUGGGGAAUAUUGCACAAUGGGCGAAAGCCUGAUGCAGCCAUGCCGCGUGUAUGAUGAAGGCCUUCGGGUUGUAAAGUACUUUCAGCGAGGAGGCGUUACUCGCAGAAGAAGCACCGGCUAACUCCGUGCCAGCAGCCGCGGUAAUUC
rnacentral:rRNA from 1 species